rnacentral:rRNA from 1 species
CGAAGCGUGCGAUUGGAUUGCACGUCUAAGCAGUAAGGCUGAGUAUUAGGCAAAUCCGGUACUCAUUAAGGCUGAGCUGUGAUGGGGAGAAGACAUUGUGUCUUCGAGUCGUUGAUUUCACACUGCCGAGAAAAGCCUCUAGAUAGAAAAUAGGUGCCCGUACCGCAAACCGACACAGGUAGUCAAGAUGAGAAUUCUAAGGUGAGCGAGCGAACUCUCGUUAAGGAACUCGGCAAAAUGACCCCGUAACUUCGGGAGAAGGGGUGCUCUUUAGGGUUAACGCCCAGAAGAGCCGCAGUGAAUAGGCCCAAGCGACUGUUUAUCAAAAACACAGGUCUCUGCUAAACCGUAAGGUGAUGUAUAGGGGCUGACGCCUGCCCGGUGCUGGAAGGUUAAGAGGAGUGGUUAGCUUCUGCGAAGCUACGAAUCGAAGCCCCAGUAAACGGCGGCCGUAACUAUAACGGUCCUAAGGUAGCGAAAUUCCUUGUCGGGUAAGUUCCGACCCGCACGAAAGGCGUAACGAUUUGGGCACUGUCUCAACGAGAGACUCGGUGAAAUCAUAGUACCUGUGAAGAUGCAGGUUACCCGCGACAGGACGGAAAGACCCCGUGGAGCUUUACUGUAGCCUGAUAUUGAAAUUCGGCACAGCUUGUACAGGAUAGGUAGGAGCCUUUGAAACGUGAGCGCUAGCUUACGUGGAGGCGCUGG